ACGGCUCAGUAACACGUGGGUAACCUAACCUAUGCAGGGGAAUAACCUCGGGAAACUGAGAAUAAUACCCCAUAGUCCACUACGCCUGGAACGGUGAGUGGAUGAAAGCUCAGGCGGCAUAGGAUGGGCCUGCGGCGUAUCAGGUUGUAGGGGGUGUAAAGUACCCUCUAGCCCUCUACGCGUACGGGUGUUGGGAGACAUAGCCCGGAGAUGGAUUCUGAGACACGAAUCCAGACCCUACGGGGUGCAGCAGGCGCGAAAACUUGGCAAUGUGAGCAAUCGUGACCAGGGAACUCCAAGUGGCUGGGGUAAGACCCAGUCUUUUCAGAACUCUUCAAAGGUUUUAGAAUAAGGGGUGGGUAAGGACGGUGCCAGCCGCCGCGGUAAUACCGGCGCCUCAAGUGGUAGUCGCUUUUAUUGGGCCUAAAACGUCCGUAGCCGGUUUGGUACAUUCGUGGGUAAAUCAACUCGCUCAACGAGUUGAAUUCUGCGAGGACGGCCAGACUUGGGACCGGGAGAGGUGUGGGGUACUCUCAGGGUAGGGGUAAAAUCCUGUCAUCCUGAGAGGACCACCUGUUGCGAAGGCGCCACACUAGAACGGAUCCGACGGUCAGGGACGAAGCCUAGGGGCACGAACCGGAUUAGAUACCCGGGUAGUCCUAGGUGUAAACGCUGUGGACUUGAUGUUGGAGGAGCUCCGAGCUCUUUCAGUGUCGAAGCGAAGGUGAUAAGUCCACUGCCUGGGAAGUACGGUCGCAAGGCUGAAAACUUAAAGGAAUUGGCGGGGGAGCAC
rnacentral:rRNA from 1 species